UACCCUCCUAGUUCGAACUAGGAGGGUAGUGUAGACAUACCCUCCGAGAGUAGGAAAAUGUCAAUAGUGUACUGUGUGUGAUUCUUUCUUCACCUCCUGCUUGCUUUGAGCUGGGGGUUAGAUUAGUAAACAUUUGAUGUCUUUUCUAGACAUGUGAUUCUAUGAUCAGCCCACACAUUACAUGUUGGAGUUAUACCCUUUUAGCAUGAAUACAAUCUCCGGUUUGCCUGUGUUCUAUUUGAAAUUGAAACCACUUCCCAUCAUUGUCAAAGACCAGAAAGAUUUUAAAGAAUUGAGCAAGUGAAGGGGGAAGAAAACUGUAUAAUGGCCCAGUCGAACUUCCACAUUUUAUAAUGAUAUCAACCAGCAGCGUCACUUGAAAGAACUUUCCUGAGUGAAAAGGGAAGAGAGCGAAAACAGAGACGCAAAUCAAGUCAAAUCUUCUGGUCCAUUGUGAAGACGGAGCCACUAUGUAGAUGGAGAAAAUUAAAGGCUGACUGUGAGACCAUGGCUCUAAUGGGUAAACACUAGAGAUCCUGAGACCUCCUGGGCCCAAGGAGCUUGGGGUAUGAGGCUCAAGACAUUUCUCUGGCUUGUAGAUCGAUAGUCCUCUGACACCACAGCUGCACUCUCUGUAUUUACACUGCAGAACCCGGUGUGGGUGUACCCUGGCCAGGUGGCAGUCCUGCCCAUCUCCCUCCAAUUUGCAAACUCGGCGUGGGAAUUCUACCAUGUCAAGUGGGAGUUCGUCACAGGCAAUCGUCCCAUCCUGGUCUACAUGGUGGACAGUUGCACCAGGCUCCGUGAAUCACAGGAGCGUACCUGCCAGCACAGCAUGGAUCUGGCAGAAUUGUACCAUCAGCGGGCAACUCUCUCCUUCCACAAUGCUUCCCUAGUGCUCCAGGGGGUGCAGCCCAAGGAUGCUGGCGUGUACCGGGUAACAGUGCGAGGCUUAGAUGUGUCAGCAGUUGCAACAGUGAACCUGACAGUGAUGGAAGACUUAUCUAGAAGAGCAAAGGGGAAUGGAAACUGCUUGGUGCCCAACUCCACCCCGCUCGGCGUAGUGUUCUUGGCUUUCUGCCUUUUGGAGUGGUUCUGGAGAGAGUCUAUAAAUCUGCCAUGCAGCAGUCCUUUCCAGUGCACAUCGAAGAACGGGUAGUGAUCAGAGCAUCAAGCAAUAGUCACUCCUGCACCACUAAUACCCACUGAACCAUCUAUUCCAGUGUCCAAAUUCUGAGAGUGGACGACCCCAGCAUCUUCAGCAGAAGGAAAAUAUCACUAAUACAGCGAGGAACAUUUCCAUACUUGUGGGAGAUAUGCAAAAGCAUUUUUAUUUCUUUUUGCAGUAAUCAUCUUCUGUCCUGAAACGGUGGAAUUGAUUAUCUUCAUGCCUUUCUCCUAGCUUGGAUGUAGCUACAAAUGUGACGGAUUAUAAAGCAGAUUAUAGAGUCGUCUUAGAGAAGAGAAGACUAAGGGAGGUUAUGAUAGAGGUCUAUAAAAUCAUGACUAGUAUGGGAAAAGCGGAUAAGGAAAAGAUAUUUACUUAUUCCUUCAAUAAAAGAACUAGGUAAUAGGCAGCAUGUUUAAAACAAACAAAAGGAAGUUUUUCUUCACUCACCACACAGUCAACCUGUGGAACUCCUUGCCAGAGGAUGCAGAGAAAGCUAAAACUUUAACGGAGUUCAAAAAAGAGCUAGAUAGAUUCAUGGAGGUUAGGUCCAUCAAUGGCUAUUAGCCAGGAUGGAUAGGAAUGGUGUCCCUAGCCUCUUUUUCUCUGGAGAUGGUUGACAGGGGAGAAAUCACAUGAGGAUUCCCUGUUGUGAUCCCUCCCUCUAGGGCACCUGGCAUUGGCCACUGUUGGCAGACAGGCUACUGGGCUAGAUGGACCAUUGGUUCUGACCCAGUCUGGCCGUUCUUAUG